UCCUACGGGAGGCAGCAGUAGGGAAUCUUCCGCAAUGGGCGAAAGCCUGACGGAGCGACGCCGCGUGAGCGAAGAAGGCCUUCGGGUCGUAAAGCUCUGUUGUGAGGGACGAAGGAGCGCCGUUGAAGAAGGCGGCGCGGUGACGGUACCUCACGAGAAAGCCCCGGCUAACUACGUGCCAGCAGCCGCGGUAAUAGAA
rnacentral:rRNA from 1 species